UACGUAGGGUGCAAGCGUUGUCCGGAAUUAUUGGGCGUAAAGAGCUUGUAGGCGGUUUGUCGCGUCUGCUGUGAAAUUUCGGGGCUCAACCCCGAACUUGCAGUGGGUACGGGCAGACUAGAGUGUGGUAGGGGAGACUGGAAUUCCUGGUGUAGCGGUGAAAUGCGUAGAUAUCUGGAGGAACACCGGUGGCGAAGGCGGCAUCCCGGACCGGCAUUGACGCUGAGGCGCGAAAGCCAGGGGAGCAAACGGG
rnacentral:rRNA from 1 species